CAGCUACUGGAUGAAGACUCUAGGAUGGCAUUUAAGCAGGAGAUGAAAGUGUCUAAGGACCAGGACACAGGAGUCUUGAAGAAGUAUGAGGAUGUCAGAAAGGAUGGAGCUGAGAGACAUGGCGGCUGAGGCAGGUGACGACAAGUGAGGGUACAAAUGCAGAGUGUACUUGCCCAUCAACAGAGCAAAUUUACCAAUCAGCCGUGAAACAUCCUGGCAUGCAAUUUGUUCCAAGUGACUGCAAAUAUCUGCAAAAAGUCAGGUCACUAAUGUUCACAAGCUACUGAAGAUACCUAGAAUCCCAUCCACAUCCAAUCAGAGAAGCCUUGGCAUUUCCAUUGGUGGUGUAAAGGCCAGAGGCUGUGGAGAUGAUGGAGUAAGGACAUUUCAGAUGCAGAGUAGACUCGAAUCUUUGGGAGUUACACAUUGGUGAAAAUCAAGCCCCAUCCUUAGGACCUGUUGCCUUAUUUGGUACAAUAAACUUUGCAGGUGUAAGUCUUAAAGUGGGUCUGUCAGUCUGGAAUUUGUCGGUGAGCUUGAUAUAAUCAUAAAAGCUGUAAUAAAUGAAAAAGAGAAGCCGUGGAGGAAAACCCCACUGCCACUGCUGGCCCUGAAAAGGUCAUGGGCUGCUACAAGCCCAUGAAAACAUGCCGCUGCCUCCAGAGUGUGUAAGGAAAGUCAGAAAACAAAGCAAUCUCCAGAACCCCCAGAAGAGACAUCCUGUCCACAUCCUUCUGAACCCAGUGGAAAUCCAUUUGGGAAUUCCUUGCCCCAGGACCUCAUAGUAAAUCUUCUGAAGUUUGAAACCAUUUAAUAUAAACUAAUAAACAUUUACUUUAAAAUAAUUUCCUCCUAUUUGUGUUAA